AUUGAACGCUGGCGGCAGGCCUAACACAUGCAAGUCGAACGAGUGGCGGACGGGUGAGUAAUGUCUGGGAAACUGCCCGAUGGAGGGGGCUAACUACUGGAAACGGUAGCUAAUACCACAUACUAUCGGAUGUACCCAGAUGGGAUUAGCUAGUAGGUGGGGUAACGGCUCACCGAGGCGACGAUCCCUAGCUGGUGUGAGAGGAUGAACAGCCACACUGGAACUGAGACACGGUCCAGACUCCGACGGUAGGCAGCAUGGGGGAAUAGUGCACAAUGGGCGCAAGCCUGAUGCAGCCAUGCCGCGUGUAUGAAGAAGGCCUUCGGGUUGUAAAGUACUUUCAGCGAGGAGGCGUUACUCGCAGAAGAAGCACCGGCUAACUCCGUGCCAGCAGCCGCGGUAAUAC
rnacentral:rRNA from 1 species